UACGUAGGGGGCAAGCGUUGUCCGGAUUUAUUGGACGUAAAGAGCGUGUAGGCGGCCAGGUAGGUCUGCUGUGAAAACUCGAGGCUCAACCUCGAGAUGUCGGCGGAAACCAUCUGGCUAGAGUCCGGAAGAGGAGAAUGGAAUUCCCGGUGUAGUGGUGAAAUGCGUAGAGAUCGGGAGGAACACCAGUGGCGAAGGCGGCUACCUGGACCAGCACUGACACUGAGGCACGAAAGCGUGGGGAGCAAACAGG
rnacentral:rRNA from 1 species